rnacentral:rRNA from 1 species
AAAGAUUUAAGCCAUGCAUGUAUAAGUAUAACCUGCCAGACAGGGAAACUGCGUACGGCUCAUUACACCAGGCACAAUUUACUGGACCUUGACAAACCUACUUGGAUAACUGUGGUAAUUCUAGAGCUAAUACAUGCACCAAAGCUCCGAUCCCUCGCGGAGAGGAGCGCAUUUGUUCGCCACAAAACCAAGCGGCUUCCAAGCCGUUCAGUGUUGACUCAGAAUAACUAAGCUGAUCGCACGGUCUUGCACCGGCGACGUGUCUUUCAAGUGUCUGCCUUAUCAACUUUCGAUGGUAGUAUACAGGACUACCAUGGUUGUGACGGGUAACGGAGGAUAAGGGUUCGACUCCGGAGAAGGGGCCUGAGAAAUGGCCACUACGUCUAAGGAUGGCAGCAGGCGCGCAAAUUACCCACUCUCAACAUGAGGAGGUAGUGACGAGAAAUAACGAGACCGUUCUCUUCAGAGGCCGGUCAUCGGAAUGGGUACAACUUAAACCCUUUAACGAGUAUCUAUGAGAGGGCAAGUCUGGUGCCAGCAGCCGCGGUAAUUCCAGCUCUCAAAAUGCAUAGAAUUAUUGCUGCGGUUAAAAAGCUCGUAGUUGGAUCUGUGCUGGCCGCCCGGUCUGUCCACUGGGCAUGCACUGGUGCGGCCGGCUUUCCUGCCUGGUUCCUCCCCGGCGUUGGCCUUCACCGGUCGGCGUCGGUGGCCGGGCGAGUUUACUUUGAACAAAUCAGAGUGCUUCAAACAGGCGUUUCGCUUGAAUGUUCGUGCAUGGAAUAAUAGAAGAGGAUUUCGGUCCGAUUUUAUUGGUUUUGCUGACCGAGAUAAUGGUUAACAGAGACAAACGGGGCCAUUCGUAUUGCUGCGUGAGAGGUGAAAUUCUUGGACCGUAGCAAGACG